rnacentral:piRNA from 1 species
UGAUAGGGCCCCUUGUGAGAUGACAUUUGAA